GACGAACGCUGGCGGCGUGCUUAACACAUGCAAGUCGAACGGAAAGGCCCUGCUUUUGUGGGGUGCUCGAGUGGCGAACGGGUGAGUAACACGUGAGUAACCUGCCCUUGACUUUGGGAUAACUUCAGGAAACUGGGGCUAAUACCGGAUAGGCGCUCCUGCUGCAUGGUGGGGGUUGGAAAGUUUCGGCGGUUGGGGAUGGACUCGCGGCUUAUCAGCUUGUUGGUGGGGUAGUGGCUUACCAAGGCUUUGACGGGUAGCCGGCCUGAGAGGGUGACCGGCCACAUUGGGACUGAGAUACGGCCCAGACUACUAAGGGAGGCAGCAGUGGGGAAUAUUGCACAAUGGGCGGAAGCCGGAUGAAGCAACGCCGCGUGCGGGAUGACGGCCUUCGGGUUGUAAACCGCUUUCGCCUGUGACGAAGCGUGAGUGAAGGUAAUGGGUAAAGAAGCACCGGCUAACUACGUG
rnacentral:rRNA from 1 species